GGCGGGAGGGCGGUGAAUAUAAUACCCUUCGGGGGAAUAAACCCGCCUGCCUCUCGACAGGUUUCGAACCUCCCGCCACCAGCGC
rnacentral:ncRNA from 1 species